AUACGUAGGGGGCGAGCGUUGUCCGGAAUGAUUGGGCGUAAAGGGCGCGUAGGCGGCGCGGUAAGUCUGGAGUGAAAGUCCUGCGUUCAAGGGGGGAAUUGCUUUGGAUACUGCCGCGCUUGAGUGCAGGAGAGGUUAUCGGAAUUCCCGGUGUAGCGGUGAAAUGCGUAGAGAUCGGGAGGAACACCAGUGGCGAAGGCGGGUAACUGGACUGCAACUGACGCUGAGGCGCGAAAGUGUGGGGAGCAAACAGGAUUAGAUACCCUGGUAGUCCACACUGUAAACGAUGAAUGCUAGGUGUAAGAGGUAUCGACCCCUUUUGUGCCGGAGUCAACACAAUAAGCAUUCCGCCUGGGGAGUACGGCCGCAAGGUUGAAACUCAAAUGAAUUGGCGGGG
rnacentral:rRNA from 1 species